ACUGCGGGCUUAGCAAGGCUGUAUCUAUCACGCGAUACGGUGAUAAUUAUGUUGAUAAAACGCCAGUCACCCUCGAAUUUAUCAUCCUUACUAUGGUUGCAGACGAUAUAUGGCGUUAUCUACAUUUGACAGCGGUAGAUGAUAGAAGACAAUUUGCAUAACAUGGUCGUUGGUUAACAUGUGGAUAAUUUGACAGCUUGUCCCAUUUUGACAGUUCAACUUAGAUAAUUUUAACUACGUUCUUCUUAGGUCACGAUAAGCCUUGUCGUGAAAGCAAAAGUAGUGAAUAAUCAUAUUUUAAGGUAUAAAAUACAGGUAAAUAUCAGUUUUUCUAUGAUUAUAUUGAGAGUUAUUAGUUCCAAUGUUCCGCUGUAUAUAAUAUUGUCAAUAUUUUCUUUGCAGGGAAGUCAAAUUUUAUUAUUCCUACUCGCGGCUGCCGUUGAAGAUAAAGAGCCUCGAAAAAUCUCGUAAAUAGCAUUAAGAAACGCUUACAACCCUUUUGAUAUGCCGGACAAAGAGUUUCGGCGUAUUUACAGAGUGCGUAAGGAGUGUGCAGUGCAUUUAGCUACGAACUUAACGCCGAGCCUCAAAACGGUGAUGGGUUACCUACCAAAACACCUCAAAAGGUUCUAACAGUAUACACCACACCAGCAGCACACCUACACCACCAGCAGCAGCAGUAGCUGCUGGUGUGUAGCAGUUACACCUGCUAGCUGAUGGCAACUACCAACGCGGGACUAGUCAAGAUCAUGGCUUGUCCAUUGGAGUACCACUGACUAGAUUGUCCACACUACGGUAAGCCUGAACCUAUCUCGAGCAGUUUGUAGAUGCUGUAAACAGAAGAAAACUUCUCGUGGAUCAAGGGAGAAAUUAGGAAUGGCGCUCCUAAGUGUUUCUAAGCAUCAUGCACAAAACCGGCGCUUAAUAAGCUUAAUAAAUACAUAUUUCGCCUAUUACUAUGUUUUACUAUCGCACAAAUACCUAAUUUAGGUACCUAUAUUAUUUCUAUACAAGUAGAGACUAGUAAACAUUCAAGACGGACAAUUUUCACAGAGAACAGCAUUCCCCGCAUGCUUCAGUGUAGGUGUCAUUUAUUCUUAUUUUUAAUUUUAGCCUUAUGCGUACAAAAUUUGUCACUUUUAUAGCUUCUAAAUGUAAAAUCCGACUGUCAUAUGCAGUAUAGUACAAUGAAAGCAUAGGUAAUAAAUA